AGGUGUCUUUGUCUCUGCUGCUUCCACCAUUGCUAAGAGCACACAGAGUUCUCUUCAGUAACUAAACUGGGAUUGUAGAUCAUUAGAUUGGGUUUCCAUCUGUUUCUCUUUCCGUGUGAGCAGAUUGCUAGAAAAAAGACACUGAAAACAAGACAAAUAAACCAACCAUUCUUCCUUGUAAGGAGCUGCAUAACCAUGAGUCAAGGGUAGCCAAUAUUUCACCGAAUUCUUCAAAUUCCUCAGAAAGAGUAAGUGGCACAGCAACCAAGCAUUCCUUCAGCCUCCUGAACUCUAGGUGUUUUCCACUUUUCCAUGGGACAAGUAGCACAAUUUGUCAACAGUGAUAAACAAAGUAGGCCUGCAAAAGUACCAGGGAAAAAAUAUUCCAUGCUUUUUCUGGCAUAAAAGAUAUUAACAUAGCAUUUAACGUCAAGGAAAAAAAAGCAGCAAAAUGAAGAAGAAUUGUCAGAGGUGUUUUAUUCAUGCAUCCAAUGUAUCAUUGCCUCAGAUGGAGAACAAGAGGCAAGAUCAACUCAAACCCAAGGAACUCUAUGCAAGAAAACUCCAAUAAACUCUGGGAACUGGAAGCACUGCAACAAGUAGCACUGUGUCCUGUUCAAGCAAAUCUGUUCCAAGAGAAGGCAAACCAACUGGAAAGAGUCCAGAGCAAAGCAGAGAAAAUGGUCAGUUGUCUUGGGAAAAAAGAAAACUCACAAGAAAGAGGGAUUGAAAGAGUUUGAGUUACUCAGUUUAAAGAGCAGAAUGACAACUAAACGCAUGAGAACCCUCAUCUACAAAGGUAUCUCUAGGGAGCUCAUUGAUGGUACUACGAAAUAACCCUUGUCAAGGGGAUGCCUGAAGCCCCUGCCAUCCAAAGGGACAUGACAGACUUGAAAAGAAGGCCUUUGAAAAUGUCAUGGGUUCACAAGACCAGGUGCAAGGUCCUGCUCCUGGCUUGAGGCGAUCCCAGUCACAAAGGCAGGCUGGACAUGGAAUGAUUGAGACCAGUCCUGAGGAGGACUUGGGGGUGUUGGUAGAUGAGAAGUUGGGCAUGAGCUGGCAAUGUGUGUUUGCAGCCCAGAAAGGCAAUUGAACCCUGGGCUGCAUCAAAAGCAGCGUGGCCAGAGGGAUGAGGGAGGGGAUUCAGCCCCUCUGCUCUGUUCUGCUCUGGUGAGAUCUCACCUGCAGUGCUGUAUUCAAUGCUGGAGACCCCAACACAGAAAGGACAUGAACCUCUUGGACUGAGUCCACAGGAGGGCCACAGAAAUGACCAAAGGGCUAGAGCAUUUCUCCUGUGAAGACAGGUUGAACGAGCUGGCAUCAUUCAGUGUGGAGAAGUGAAGACUUCAGGAAGACCAAAUUGCUACCUUCCAGUAUUUAAAGGGGGCUUAUAAGAAAGAUGAGGACAAACUUUUCUAUAGGGCCUGUAGUGAUAGGACAAGGGACAAAGUCUUUUAACUGAAAGCAGGUAUAUUUAUAUUAGAUAUAAGGAAGAUGUUUUUUAUUACGAGGGUGGUGAGACACUGGAACAGCAUGCCCAGAAAAGCUGUGGAUGCCCCAUCCCUGGAUGUGCUCAAGACCAGGCUGGAUAAAGAUUUGAACACCUUGAUCUCGUGGAAGGCGGCCCUGCCCAUAGCAGGGUGGUUGUAACUAGAUGAUCUUUAAGGUCCCUUCCAACCCAAAUCAUUCCAUGAUUCUAUGAAAACAGUUGUUCAACUCUAAUGAAUACAUAAAUAGAAUAUGGGCCUGUCCUAUGCACAGCAACCUGUGUAUUGUGACUGCCCCUUUGUCAUGGGCAGGAAGGGGAUUGGAAGAAGUAAGCUGGACUUCAAGCCUAAUUUACUACCUACUGAAACUAACAGCAACUUGAGCUCAUGAGUUUUAAGUCUAAUAUGAGUCACAGUAGUGCCCUGUAGUCCUGCAUCAGUAGCCUUGCCUAGGCUUAUCUUUUAGUUCAUUUCACACCCUCUUUGGGCCUCAAAAGUGAGACUCUGCAGUCUGCAAUAGAGUUAGAUGUUCAUUUUGGAAGAACAAAAUCAGACCACAUCACUAGACCACAGUGACUGCCUAAAGACCUAUAUCACUAGUACUCACCUAUCCAAAGAGAAAAGCAACACUCUAACCAAGUCCACAGCAUGAACCUGAUUCCUUCAAUUUCUGUAAAGCCUAAAAGUGGUAUGGCUGCAAUUAAAAAUACAAAAUUGCAAGUGACUUUCUUGAUAAAUUUGCUAAUUUUGUGCUUUCUGGAGGUAAAGCACUAUGUUACCUAAUGUACAUUUAAACAAAAUGGAAGAAAAUCAAGAGAAGUUCACUGGAAGUUGCCUCCCAGUAUGUUUCUUUGUUGUCAGUGAUUUAGAAAUCCUCUGGUAAAUGAUGGACUUUAUUAGCCAAUCACAAUUAAUAAGAUUAUAAGAUUUAAUAAUUUGCAGAUAACCUUUGUUAAGGUUGUACCCUGAGGCAGAACAACACCUUAUCAAAUAUAAUCACAAGUGGAUCAGUUAUACAUUAUCUUUAGAAGUUAAAGUGCCAACAAAAGCAACUGUGACAUAAGUAUGAUAUACAGGCAAUUAUUUUCAGUUAUGACUGUUUUUAGGAGAGUGAUACCUAGAGAAGAAUCAGAAUAUAAUUUUUCUACGCAGAAGACCUAAAUUACAAAGGAGUACUGCUGAUAGAACAAACUAACCUUGAUGAACAAAAUAGGAGUACUGCUGAUAGAACAAAAUAACCUCAUUAUUAAGGAGGCUAAGCAGAAUGUUUCAGCAAAAGUGACUUUAGUAUUAGAGAAAUUAGGGGGGGUUCUUACUGUCAUAUUUUUGUUAGAAGAAUGGGGCAAAAUGUUUGUGGUACAGGAAAGGAAUAAUGGAUCGUGUUGCAGAUGUGAAGGAAAUAAGCAAAUGCUGGUAUUUUUGCAGAAUAACAUGGUGCAAACUGAGGAGAAUCUUUCCAUCUCAGUCUUUUAAAACAACUCUCUGGUGGAGUUUUUUUAAAUGUACUUCUGUUUCUACUUAUGGUGGGAAAAGAAGGUACAGCAAAGGGAAAAAGUGCCUGUUCAAUUGUGUUGCCUUGUGGUACAAUGUCCCACAGCUUCUGCAAAUUUGGAAAAUCCAGCUUGUCACUGACUUAAGAGACUUUUUAGAGAGAUAUAAAGCACCCCAAUACAGAUGUAGUAUCAUGAAGACCUGUGCCCAGAACAAUAUUUGUACCAUCUUGGCUCACAUCACAGAUUUAUGAGAGCUUCUUAGUGGAAUUACUGAAACCUUUAGUUUGGGGAAAGCCUUCCUAGAUGUCAUGGGGCAAGGGACUCUGGUUUUCUAGUCUAGUCUCUUGCACAGCUCACAUCAGACUUAGUUAUUGCUUGAAACUAGAUAUAUAUGUUUGGGCUAAAACACUCUUCUCCAAAAAGAACCCAACCCUGUUUGUAAUGAUAUUAAAUAUUUGUAAUGAAAAGGAAUCCAUCCUCUGUUCUUCCAUCUUAACUCACUAUCACUUGAGUCAUCCCUAAUAAAAAUUGCCACCUUUUUCUGAGCUUGAAUUUGUGAAAACUCAGUCACCAGCCCCAGAAUCUUGUUAAACACUUCUCCAGCCAUAUUGAACCAACUUCUGCCAUCAAGCUUUGCUCUGCAAAGUAAAACACAAACAGGAAUAAAAGGAAACCAAGAGCAGCUGGUAACUUUGAAAUGUACUCUACAUAAACACAUUUCAGUUAUUUUAGUUAUUCUUAUGACCCUUUCCAAUCUUCAAUAUCAUCCAUAAAGUACAAACAAAAGUACUGGAGCUGGUGCCAGGAAAGAGCAUAUGUCAGAAUCACAGAGAAAAGUUUCAAUUUCAUUUAAUCAGUAUUUGAAAUGCAGUAUUUUCCCGGAAUAUAACACACUGGAGCCUAGAGGGUUGGAUGCAUGCUGUCUUCUCAUAUGAUGGUUUGUAGCAGGCAUUAUCAUUACAGUCUUUUAUUCUUUAUCUUCUAAAACAGUGACCUGCAACACAGUACAUUUGAUCUUGCUUUGAAAAUACCAAAUAAACGAAGUUUUAAUUGGAAAAAAGUAACCCGUGAAAAUCAAACUAACAUUUUUAAUCUGAACAACAAAAUUUGGGAAAGAUUAUAAGAAAAAAAAUCUUAAAACACUAAAAAGUUGUACAAGUUUAAAGUAGGAGUAGCUGUAUACCCUUUACCUCCAUACAUGGAUAAACAUUAACAUACUUACAUGGUUGUUCAGAAGCAUAAUAAUAUCAGUUACCACUGCAAAGCACUGUAGUAUUUGUCCCAAGUAAACUGAUGAAAAUGGCUGAUACAUAUUUAAAUCUCCUAGAGAUAAAUUUCUAAGUGCAGGUGUGUCUCAAACAAACAUUUGGUGGGUAAAAAUCUUGGUCACAGUCAAACAGGGUGAUCUUCAGCACUUGAUCUAGGGAUAAGAUUUUCCAUGUAAAAAAUAAAAUUACAAUAAUACCCAUAUAUGUUACUGAUAUGUUUGAGUGUCAAGGCAAACACUUGAAGUGACAGGGUUUUCUAAUAAAAGACCAGCAAGACCUCUGGAAGCAGAUAGCAGGAAUAGUCAUUGGGCUGCAUUCUCUGCAUAAGCUCUAAUCAUUAGAUGGUUGAUAUGCCAGCUGGAUUUUCCAUAAUUCAAAACUAUUUCAAUUUGAUUAUUUGAAUAACCAAUGCAAAAAAAGGUUUGCUCUUAUUAGUUUAUAAUCAAAUUCCUUCAAAAGUCUUGAGAAGAACCUGAACCAACCGAAGAAGCCAAACACACAGACACACGCGCGCAUGCGACUCCAAAACAAAACUGCUGACGCUGUGAUCUGAAUUUGGAAGAGAAAUAUUUUCUCUCCUGAUGGGAGAAAGGAAGGAAAACAACAUAUACUUGCUAUGCAUAAAAAAAGCAAUAUUCAAUAAGGAACACAAAAAGGAAAGGAGAAUAUGCAUAGAAACCCCCAUAGUCCCUCUCUUAAUACGGCUCAGAAAAAUAAAACUCAUAAUUAGACUGUUGCCCCCCACACACCAGUUAUUCACAGUGCUCUUCUCAGGCCUUAAUAACUGCAGUCUUACCUUGCUGUAAUCACCAUAUUCAGAAGUCUGACAUAUUACAUCCAUUGUUUACAUCUCCUUUCAAUCCUUCAUUUUGAUCACACCACACAUCAAUUGCUUGUCUGAGUUCUGAAGAUUCUGAAUGUCUUUGCUGGGUUCACCAGAAGUGCUCUCUCGGCUGCAAGACUGCCAAACUGGUACUGUAUUACUGGUUCUUCUGGAGUUGGAGAAAAAUCAAUAGCAUUCCUCUUAACUAGACAAUAAUUUUUAUCAAAGCUAUCAGAUCAGCACAGCAUGAUCUACCUUUGGAAUAAUUUAUGUUUCAUUUAAUUUUUCUGCUUUAAUUACUUUCGUUCUUUAAAAUCUUGGAAAAGAAAUGUAAAAGCUGAAGUUGUUAGGCUUAGAGAAGACUGAUGUGAAAUAUAAAUGUCUUAAAGUAAAAUAAACCUUGGCAAAGAAAAGGAAAUAAUCUUUUGAGUUUGGAAGAGAUGAGAAAUAAUGUGUGUGUACUACAGUGAAAAACUUCAGUUAGACAUUAGAAAUAAACAUUUCAUGAUAAUGCUGUUACACUCCAGCAAGAGGCUGUGUAAGUAGGCUGCAGUUUCUCUGCCACCUGGGGCUUUUGUGGCUGAUCUGCAUGUGUCCCUUCUCUACUUCUCUGUCAUUCUCAUGAUGUGGCUUUUUUGGUUCUCAGUGCUUCCUCUCCUGCAAGGCCAGAGUUAAUGAGACCCAGCCCUCUGCAUGAGAGGGUCAUCUCUGGUUUUCCCUUUUGUAAGGGUGAAAGAGGGGUUUUUUUUCUAUUCUCAGCCCCAGCCUAUGCAGCCAUACCAUACAGCCACAGAGGUGCCUCUGGAGCACCAUCAUUAUCUUCUCUCACAAAGAUUUGUUCUGCCCUGGUAACCUAAAACAGGGACCAAAAUUCUGUUCUGUUGUGGAAAGUCUAUGCACAUCCCCCCACACAUGCUGGGGUUACUGCCUUUUCACGCUUGACUGUGAGUACUACACAAUGAGCACAUAGUGGCCACAGACAGGAACAAUGACCCUCUCUUGAUGGAAACAACUGCUUGAAGAGUGCUUCCAAAAGCUCAAAGCAUACACAUUAGAGGAAAGAAAGAC